rnacentral:sRNA from 1 species
ACGUUUUUUUCAUAGAGAUUUAGAUUUAAGGUUAGAAGAAUUGUGGAAGUCGUGAGACUUCCCUUUUUUUUCCAUGGAAUAUGGGUACAAUUUUCCCCAGUUAGGAAAAAAUAUUUUUCCAACUGGGGAAUUCUUUUU